rnacentral:rRNA from 1 species
GGUUAAGCGACUAAGCGUACACGGUGGAUGCCCUGGCAGUCAGAGGCGAUGAAGGACGUGCUAAUCUGCGAAAAGCGUCGGUAAGGUGAUAUGAACCGUUAUAACCGGCGAUGUCCGAAUGGGGAAACCCAGUGUGAUUCGUCACACUAUCGUUAACUGAAUACAUAGGUUAACGAGGCGAACCGGGGGAACUGAAACAUCUAAGUACCCCGAGGAAAAGAAAUCAACCGAGAUUCCCCCAGUAGCGGCGAGCGAACGGGGAGCAGCCCAGAGUCUGAAUCAGCUUGUGUGUUAGUGGAACGGUCUGGAAAGUCCGACGGUACAGGGUGAUAGUCCCGUACACCAAAAUGCACAGGUUGUGAACUCGAAGAGUAGGGCGGGACACGUGGUAUCCUGUCUGAAUAUGGGGGGACCAUCCUCCAAGGCUAAAUACUCCUGACUGACCGAUAGUGAACCAGUACCGUGAGGGAAAGGCGAAAAGAACCCCGGCGAGGGGAGUGAAAAAGAACCUGAAACCGUGUACG